rnacentral:tRNA from 1 species
UAAAUAGUAGUAUAGAGGAAGUACAAAGAGUUUUGAUCUCUUAAGAGUAGGUUCAACUCCUAUCUUUUUAA